rnacentral:tmRNA from 1 species
UACGGAUUCGACAGGGGUAGUUUGAGCUUAGGUUGCGAGUCGAGGGGAUCGGCCUCGUUAAAACGUCAAAGCCAUAACUGGCAAAACUAACAAAUCUUUCGCUUUAGCUGCUUAAUUAGCGCUUAGCGGUUCGCCCCUCCAUCGCCCAUGUGGUAGGGUAGCGGACUCACUUUAAGUGGGCUACGCCGGAUUCCACCGCCUGAGGAUGAAGGAAGAGAACAACCAGGCUAGCUGACCGGACGCCUGUCGAUAGGCAAAAGGAUCAGUGAAACGCCAAUAUGUCGACUACACUCGUAGAUGCUUAAGUGCCGAUAUCUUUGGACGCGGGUUCGAUUA